CAACCCUCAAGCCCUCUCUGCAGGGCCUGGCGUUGGGGGACGGCACCCCUCACCGGGUGCCGCCCCCGAAAGACAGUGGCGGCCUCGCCGUCUGCCUCCUCUGCGUAGUAGAAACACCUCGCACUGGGACGCGGCGCGGUCAUGCCGUAAAAUCUCCAACUUCUGAA
rnacentral:misc_RNA from 1 species